rnacentral:rRNA from 1 species
UACGUAGGGCGCAAGCGUUGUCCGGAAUUAUUGGGCGUAAAGAGCUCGUAGGCGGUUUGUCGCGUCUGCUGUGAAAACCUAAGGCUCAACCUUGGGCUUGCAGUGGGUACGGGGCAGACUAGAGUGCGGUAGGGGUGACUGGAAUUCCUGGUGUAGCGGUGGAAUGCGCAGAUAUCAGGAGGAACACCGAUGGCGAAGGCAGGUCACUGGGCCGCAAC